rnacentral:rRNA from 1 species
AUGGACGAAGCUUACCGCCCCCAAAGAGCAUCCUCCGUAGCAAAGCAAAUUAAGAAGGGCAAACAUCCAGUCCUAAAUUUUGAUCAUGGGAGCGGAAGCAGCUCGAGAUAUAGUUUCAGAGAAUCCUCCAUUACAUAUGAAGGAGAGGCAGCUAAUAUAGAAGAUGAAGCAAUGGAAAAGGCAGCUCAGGUGGCGUUACAAUGCAUCUGUGCAGACUAUAAUAUUUCUAUCGAAGACCAUAAUUACUAUGCCCUUGAAGUCACAAAGGAAAGGUUGUUUACAGCAAGAGAGAAGGCUCAAACAAAGCAAUGGUGGUUCAACAUGGUCCGCCAGCAAGUUGGACACCAGUUGCUUCUGUCUCUCUCGGUCUCUCCCCAAUUCCUCUCGCGAAUCCCCCUUCUCUUGCCACCUAGAGACCCAUCUCCCGUCGCGCAGCACCAAGCGGAUUUCAAGAUCCCCUGGGAUAUAGAGCUAUGCGUUAAGAUGAAGGGGCCAAUGCCCCUCACCCCCUCCGCAAACUAUUUGGUGACCAAAGUGAGUCCGACUCCAUCGGCGUCCAAUGGAGCCAAGGUUCCCUUGAACGACAGUAUGUCAUAUGCUCGCCGGUGCCCACCAAGGAGGAGCCUACCUUCGAAAAGGUGCUCCGUCGUGACAAUAUCCGAGUUGCCUACGUCCAGCACUACCUCGGCCAUGAUUAUGGACACUGGCAACGACGUGUCGUGGGUACACUACAACUCCAUGGUCAGGUCGGUGCUUGUCGACCCCAACAACUCCACCACCUACACCUCGUUUUCGUGCGACUUCAUGGCGUGCACACAGCUCGGCAUGGAAGGCAACGACUGCUCCAACUCGCAAUGCCAGUACAUGGUCCCAUGGCCAUCUCAAGAAAUUUGGGGGCCUAAAACGAAAAUUAUUUAG